CCUGAAGCCGGGGAGGGAGGCCCAGGGCGGGCUCCGCGCGUCCAGCCGCGGGUGGGUGUCUGCGCCGCUGGGGGUUCCAGAGAAUUCUCAACCGUCCCCCUCUCUCCCCCCGGGACAGCGUCUCUAUUCCAACCUGGCACGGACGCCAGGAGCUCGCGCUACGAGUCAUUUUAAAAAGAAAACACAAUUUACGUGUGAAAGUCGAGACGAGAAAGCUCGCGGGUGCCCGUUAGGAUUUGUGGGGCAGCAGACUGUGGCUUCCAGAACCGACUGUGCCCGAGGAUAAGGCCUGAACUUCAACAACCUGCAAGUGGGUUGAGCAACCCGUUUCACCGUUGAGGAGACAGAGCGCUGGCCCAGCCUGGACCCGGAGCUGAGGUUCCUGUUUCCUGGCUCACCUGGAGGCUCCUGCAGUUGGCCAGAUGAGACCCUGACGUGGAAACAAAUCUCUCGGGCACAGGCACACUUCAGGGCUUUAAAGAGGUGCAUUCACCUGUUGAAGAUGGUGGUCCAGGCAGGAAAAGAGCAGGGGCUGCUGCUGACUUGUUCCCCAGGAGCACAGGAGAGGAGGCUUCGAGACCCACAUGUGUCCUGUGGCUGCUCCACCCACACCGGGGUCUGACCCCAGCGGAUCAGCAGAGAGAGCGGCCCAGAGCAGGAGGCCCAGCCCAGGGCAGCUGGGGUCUGCAGGGCUCCCCUCCAGAGGCCGCACCUCAGACCUUGGCAGCAGCCCCCAGCUCUGUGGAUCCUCCAGGAGAUUUUCCCAAGCUCCAGCCCCAACCCUUUAAUUCACACUGGGAAGAGCCUCAAAGAACCCGGCAGGGACGGAGCUCCCCCGACCCUCUGGGCAAAGAUCAACUUGGUUAAAAGGGCCUCCAGCUGAAACCCAUCUCCUGGGGAAAUGUAUUAAAACAGAAACUCUG
rnacentral:lncRNA from 1 species